UACGAAGGGGGCUAGCGUUGUUCGGAUUUAUUGGGUUUAAAGGGUGCGUAGGCGGCCUUGUAAGUCAGUGCUGAAAUAUCCCGGCUUAACCGGGAGGGUGGCAUUGAUACUGCAGGGCUUGAGUAAAGUUGAGGUUGGCGGAAUUGACGGUGUAGCGGUGAAAUGCUUAGAUAUCGUCAAGAACACCGAUAGUGAAGACAGCUAACUAAGCUUUAACUGACGCUGAGGCACGAAAGUGUGGGGAUCAAACAGG
rnacentral:rRNA from 1 species